GAUAUCGACUAUAUUCCAUGUUAGAGACAUGACGACAUAGUGAUAGGCCUUUGUGACAUUCGAUGUAUAUUCCAUAUUUUAGACAUGAGGACAUGGUACUUGAGAUAGACUUAUACGCAUGCUUGCCAUUGUGCUCAUUCGCACAUGCUUGUGAGGGUUACUCCCUACAAGCCGGCACUCCGGAGUUGGCCAUCGCGAUACGUUUGCCGUGCGGGAUUGGGCGCCGAAGUGGAUUGCUGUGGGAAAGGCUCAUUCCUAGGGUGGGGAUGUUGACUACCACGGGGCCAUUAGGCACGGUAAAGCCAGACAGCCUUCGGGUGAGUCUUAUGCCAGACAGCCUUCAGGUGGGUCUUAUCAAAGUUGAACUGUAAACAAUUAAAGUGACAAGUGGACAUUGACUAGAAUAGUAAACAAUGACAACUUUACUAUUUACAUUGUGGACAUUGGAUUAGUUGCAUACUAAUGCAUUUGCAUGUUGGAUACUCUUGUGCACAUACUUGUAGUAACUGCCUUCUUACUUAUGCUAAUCAUGCUAAGUAGAGAUAUCAUGGUUGAAUAGUAUUCAUAUUUAUUUUCUAGUUGUUCUUAUCGCUUUGGCUUAUACUUGUACACUGACCCACUUUUGUAGUUCUGGGCCUAGUGGCGCAUUUCACUGAAGUCAGUAAUUGCCCACUGAGAACUAUUAUUUAAUAGUUCUCACGUCCCUAUUUCUAUGUUUUCUUUUCAGAGUCUUCGGCACCGGCGGAGGCACGGGAUCGCGACAAGGGUGUCGCGUAGCUAGCUCGGAGAGAGUUCGUUUUGCUAGGUGGUUACUCCUUCUUUGUUUGUGAUAGAGAGGGAGAGAUUUUGCACCAUAUAUAGAGAGACCACCUUAUAUUCAGACUAGUACUUGCUAUGGGACUCCUUUCGUAUUAUCUUACGUUUUACUUAGUGGAUUAUCAGUUCUAUGAUCUUCUCUUUGUUGUAGCACUUCGUAGUAUUUUGCUCUGAUAUACUUAAAUGCUUCCUUUUUAUUGCUUUAUUUACCGCUUUAUUUUAGACGCCUUGUAUGUGUUAGAUGUACGGCGGGUCUGGACACGCGCCGGGCGGGCUUCCGCUGGGUCCCGGGGCGUGACAGAUUAGUUUGGUAUCAGAGCCUAGGGUUGAGUCUCAGUGGACCUAGCAAACCUUAGGCCGGUUGGACUAUAAGAAAUAGGCUCAUGAGAAACAAGGUCUAUUUGACAUCUAAACGAAAGUAUCUCGAUUGGGUAUUUUGGCUAACUCUAGAAAGUAGAGUUAAAUCGAAGUGUACAGCUCCUAACUUCGCGGAGGGUUACGUUAGCGGCCGCCAACGUAAUAUCGGGAGUUAGUAGUGAAGCACACCUCCUUACUUUCGCCUGAUUUGGGUAUUAUCUUUGAGCGGGGAUGCGAUAGCGUAGGUUUGCUAACUUACUCUUUUAUGAUGUUGUAGUGCGAUGCCGAUCACACGCUCCCAAUCUGCUGGAGCGGAUAACGCGGCAAAUCUGGAGGAGGUCGAGACCUCCGCUACCUCCGGAUCCAGCGAGGUCCGUGAGCAGAGGAGCCAGCUGGAGACUCUCACUGACUUGGUGACGCAGCAGGCAGAGGAGGCCCGACAGCAGACUGAUGCGGCGCGCCGACAGGAGGCGCGGAUGAAGCGCCUGGAGGACCUUCUUCUACAGCAGGCGGCAGCUUCCAGGGAGACCCAGGCCCCUACACCGCCAGCACCAGUUGUAGAUAUUGCACCGAGAGCACCGUCCCCUGCGCCCAGUUCGUCGCUUGCGGCGCCCGUGGCCGCGCCUUAGGAGGAGGCUUUGGCGGCGCCACAUGUUCAGGCACCCCCGAUUGGAGCUAUUUUUCCCUUGUUGGUUGAGGGGGCAGAGCGGGACCGACUAAUGGAACGCCUUAAUGAGUUCAGGAGGUGCAGCUCUAGGAUUUUCGAUAGCGAGAAGGUCGACCACUGGAUUGUGGAAAAGUGGUUGAUGCACAUGGAGAAGCUCUUCCGCGACACCUUCGUGGAGGAGAGGGAUCGAGUUUGGCUCGCCACACACCAUCUGGACGGCGAGGCCUACCGCUGGUGGUUGGAUCUCCAGGAGAACCCCAGCACUGAUUUGGCUGCUAUCACGUGGACGAGGUUCAAGGAGCUUCUAUUGGCUCACUACUUCCCGACCAGCGUCAAGCGGAAGAUGGAGCAAGAUCUGCGCAACUUGCGCCAAGGUGAUCGGACUGUGGCCGAGUAGGAGCGGGAGUUUUCUCUACUUCUUCACUACGUGCCUUUCGUCGUGCGGGACGACGAGGACAAGGCCCGCAUCUUCAAGCGAGGGUUGCGACCAUCGAUCUUUCGGUUUGUGCAAUCCUCUAACCUCCAAACCUACCGGGAGGUGGUGGACCGCGCGCUCAUAGUAGAGAGCGGCGCAGCAGAGGUCCAGAAGCGACGAGAGGCCAUGGACAAAGGCAAGGCCAAGAGGCCUGCGGCUCAGUGUGCGAGCCAGACGCACUCUAGGAGGCAGCCGAAGCAUCCUAGGAGCCAGCAGCGUGGACGCGGCUCAGCAGCGCAGCGAAGAGGAUCUGACCGACGUCGGCCCUCCUUGCGUGUGAUCUGUGGUGGUCCUCAUCACCCACCGCAGUGUCCACAGCGGGCGGGCAGGUGCUUCCAGUGUGGCCAGGAGGGCCACGUGCGGGCUGAGUGCCUGAGAGGUUCUUCACCGGCACCGUCCACUGCAUCGGCACCGUGCGGGCUGAGUGCCCGAGAGGUCUUAUGCCAGACAGCCUUCGGGCGGGUCUUAUCAAAGUUGAACUAUAAACAAUUAAAGUGACAAGUGGACAUUGACUAGAAUAGUAAACAAUGACAUCUUUACUAUUUACAUUGUGGACAUUGGAUUAGUUGCAUACUAAUGCAUUUGCAUGUUGGAUACUCUUGUGC
rnacentral:lncRNA from 1 species